rnacentral:lncRNA from 1 species
CUUUAGGAACUCCAUUGAAAAAAAAAAAAAAAAAAAAAUUAAAAAAAUCUCUCUGUGGUUUCACACUUUUUCAUUUUACUAUCAUGUGGUUUAAAGUUUAUUAAGUUAGUACCCUGUGGUUUCUCACUUUAUCACUUUAGUACUCUGUGGUUUAAAAGUGUAUCAAGUUAGUACCCUGUGGUUUUGCACUUUAUCACUUUAGUACCCUGUGGUUUCACACUAUCACUUUAGUACCCUAUGAUUUAAAAAGCCACAGGAUACUAACUUGAUACAAAAUUAAAACCACAUGGUACUAAAGUGAUAAAGUGCAAAACCACAGGGUACUAACUUGAUACACUUUAAACCACAGGGUACUAAAGUAAUAGAGUGAGAAACCACAUGGUACUAACUUGAUACAUUUUAAACCAUAGAGUACUAAAUUGAAAAAAAUUGAAACCACAAGGAGAGUUUUUGAAGUUUUACCAAAAAAAAAUGGAAAAGAAAGUAAAGACAUGUAUU